CUGGUGGCGGUUGGGAGAAGUGUUGAGGUCCCAAGGUGCCCACUUUAAAGAAGAUUAAGAUGUCAUGUUCUGUUUACAGUGUUUCUUUGUAUCUUCAACUAUUGUCUCUAUUUUUCAUACCACAUGGCUGGGUACUUUCUGAAUCAGUGUAGCUUGUUUAUAAUUUUUUGACUAAAUUAAAAGUGUACCAUUUUCAGCAAUUUCCAAUUGCCACAUCAAGUUUUGUGUUUAUUUAUCCUGAUUUACUUACAAUGUUGUUUUCUAAAUUUAUAUCCUAAUGGUAUCCGGUUGGGUUUUUUUCAGGAAUUUCUUAUGUAAUCUUGUAAUACUUUCAUUUGUAGUUGUAAACCUAAGUACAAUGUGCUCCUCCACUGUUGCCGUGGGGCUUUCGCUAGAUAAGACAUUCUUUUUAAGAAAUAUACGCAACUCCAGGAUGGGAAAGUGAAGUGGGUACUUUUUUUAUUAUUAUUAUUAAAAUGGAAAUGUAAGAAUGAAUAUCAAAUAUGUUCCCUGACUUCUAGGAGCCCAAGUUAGGCAAGCAAGAACAGAUCCCAAAAUGAUUUUCCGUACAAUACAGAAAGUAUUACAGGGCACAGAGGAAGGGGCAGUUGAUUCUUACAAAUGACUACAGCCAAGGACUCAGCAUUUUCUGUUUAGGCUUGAGGCUUAGUAUUUUUGGUCUAACAUUUUUGUGUAUUUCCCCAUUUAGAAUAUUUUGUUUUCCCAUAUUUUUUUUUGCUCAACAAUAUUAAAAGGAUGUUGCCUUACAUGAUAGUGUUUGGUUUCACUCUCCAGUUGCUUCUGCGUCAUCACCUAAAAGCUUGACACAGGAUAACUGAAAUGAACAAACUAAGCAAAAGAAAAAAUAUGCAAUUCUUCUCCAGCUUGUUCUCAACAACAGUAUCGUUCUACCAAGCACACAGCACUUCCUUCUGUGUCCAUCCAGCGGCAUUGGGAGAUCCGAAUCAUUGUGCCGUGGACACAGGAAACUGCCGUCUCGAAUGGGGGUGAAAGUGUGCCUGCCUGUGUGUGCACUGGUGUGCUCGUUGGGGGCUUUUUUUUUUUUUAAUGUUCAAGCUUGUAUGAUCUCAGAAGCUUUACCUGAAGAUGUCAGUAGGCAGUAACUUAUUUACCUUGAGUUCCAAGAGUGCCCUUUCUUUAGUUUUCCUCCCAAGGUAUUAAUUAAAAUCUUGUUAGUAAAGAAGCAAGAUAUCUCCAAUCUGCAAAUCAUAGUGUUUUGUGCUUCAUUUAGUGUUUACUCUGUCUGGUACACUAGAGGUGUGUACACCUACUCACACAGAGGCCUGGGUCAUCAGUGACUAGCAGACCCAAUCCUGAAACCAGGCUGGUGAUGUCAUUAUUAAGAAAGUAACAGUUAGACGAAAGGAUUGUGGGCCACGUUUACAGCUGUGGCAUGGCCUUACGUCGUUUUCUGUGGCCUUGUCCGUGUCCCGUUAGAAACCGUCAUUGUCAGGAGGGCUGACUUGCACUUCUGCAGUGUUUAUUAGCAUAGUGCUAAUCCAAGAUUAAUUUUAGUUUUAGUUUCUCUCAAACCUCAUGUUUUAAAAUACUACUUACUUGCAUAUUAACCUUUAGUCAAAUUUCAUAAGGAUUGCUACAUUGCAGGGUUGGUACAUUUUGAAAUCUAAUGUUAAAAAUUAACAAAAAACAAAACAUGAAAUAUAGUAACAAUUCAUAUUUUUCAUUAUGGCUUAUCAUUACUGAUACAUGGAAAUACUCGAAGCUGUUAGAAGUCGGUAGGUCACCAAGUAGUAAAUUUAAAAAUAUCGAAUAUCUAUAUGAUGGGAACUUAGUACCAAUACAUACAUCUUUCUUUUUAAAUGAGGUUUUCUCUCCAGUGAGGAAACAGAUUUGCCCCUUGUAAGGUUCCAUCAGUCUCAGUGGGGUUCUGUCUUUUUUGGUAAGGAGGAGAAGGGAAAGUUCACCUGCGUGAUUUUUCUAAUUACCUUCCUCUGAAUAGCUUUUACUUUUUCUAGGAAAUUAUUUAAAAGUCUCUUUUUUCCCCCACGAUUUUAUUAAUGUGGCAUACAUCCACUUUUAUUCUCAUCGUAAUUACAAUAUUCUAAAGACCCCGCAAAAUUUUUAGAACAGUAAGAUCAAGUGCCCUCACCCCCUCAUUUUCAUUAUAUAAAAGCUAUUUUGUUAUAAAGCUUUAUCAUAAAGGGUCUUGGACAAACCUGUUUUCUUACAUUUUAACAACAUUAGGUUUUUUAAAUUAAAAUUCUUUCAUUGAAGUUAAUGAAAAAGAAGUUCCAUUUCCCUGGUUGUUUAUAGGGAGAAAUAAUAAACAGUUAGCAAAUCAAAUACUUUAAAAUUUGAAAAUCAUUAUUGUUAUCACUGUCAUUAUUAUCUCUUGUUGGAGGUUUACUAUGAGUCAAGCAUUAUUGGCUUUUCUAUUUAUAUUAUCCCCCAUGCUCAGAGCAACCCAUGAGAUAAGCAUUAUCUUUCUCAUUUUACAAUGAGGAACAAGAAGCUCAGAGGAGGGUUAAAUGGUUUGCUCAAACUCCUAUGGCUGGGUAGUAGCAGAUCCAGGAUUCAUUCAAAAUAUCUGGCACAAAAGGUGAUGCCCCUUGUUAUGACUAAGCAUUGAUUCCCAAGCUAGCCCCUGGCCCUGUCCUCCAUGAACAUGUGCGUGCACUCAUCUUCGUAGUGAUAGUAUUAAAACACAGACUUGAACUGAGUAAAUUCGAGGCUCAAACUGUCUUUAUUCAACGUUCAUUUGCCAAGCAGCGUCCUAUGAGCAGAUGGAAAGGAACGGGAUCCCAAGAGCUGUACAAAAUGAAAGCCUUUUAUAAGCCGAAGGAAACUUCUAGCAAAAAGUGGAUGGUUUCAGGCAAGGUCCUUUUUCUGUAGGGCCUGGAAGGAGUUCGUUGGGCAGGUUACCUCCAUAGUGCCAACUGGGUAGUUCCAGAUUGACAGGUUAAACAUCACAUCCGUGGGAGAGGCUGAAAACUGCAGUUAGGUUAGGCGUUAAAUCUUGGUUUGAUGAUGUGCACUUAGCACAAGUGACUCCAUUUUGGGCUUGCUGUCUCUUUUCAAUAAAAGUCAUAAAGUUACAAGAAGAAUGAGAUUAAAAACAGUGGUAAUAUACCAUCCUGAGUUAGAGCUCUUUAGCUUCUCUUUUCAAUAAAUGUCUGUUCAGUCUUAUUAUUAUUAUUAUUAACCCAUAUUAUUUAAUAUCAAAGAUUACUGUAAAAAUCCCAGAGUCAAAUGUUUUUGCCAAGAGACUUUGUUCUUGGGUCAACUUAUUUCUGAGUGAGGUACCUCUUAUAUAAUGUGCAUUUUAAAGGGACUUGUGAAUUACAUAAAAAUAAAUGUGAACAUUAUUUUAUAAAACAAUAUGAAGUAAAUAAACUUGAAUUAAAUCAUAUUAGUGUUAAAUUAUUUAGAAUCUACUUAAGGCCAUUUUUUAAUUUAAAAAGUAGGAUGGAGGCUUCAGCUGCUAAAGAUAGGUUUGAAUUUGAUAGUUUUUUAAAAGGUAAAAUGGGAGGCACUUAAAGGGAAUAUAACAGAGCACAUUAUAAACACUCAUGAAUCAAAUUACCAUUAUUUAACUGACAAAAAAGUUUGUUGGUUAAGGGUACUGACCAUAUAAAGGCAAAAGACAUGUGUGGUAUCAGGGUCUGCUGGAUUCAGAGACUCAAACUAUUUCACGUACCUGACUGCCACUGGUUCUUUAACACACCCGCCGCCGUGUUGGUCCGCUUUCUGAGCAUUCCUCUGCUGCCUUCUCCGCGCCCUUCCCCGACACUUACACCUGCUCCUUCCUGCAUUCGUCCUGUUCAUUCGCUGUCUUCUCUGUUCUUUCUGUUCCCCCUUCCACUGCCCAGUGGCUUCAGCUGCUCUGUCUCCUUUUUCUGUGUGAUUUUGUUUUCUUACGCUCUUCACGUGUUUGAAGCACAUGGCUAUUGGCAGCUCUGGGGAUACAACACUAUAGCUCUUACUAGUUUUCUCGUGUAAUAUGAGGGCUCUUCCCCAGUUGUAUAGGGAAAAGUCUCAGGAAAGAACCCUGAGUUGUAUGGGGCCUACAUCUGUACCUGGACCAGUCACUGGUCUGUGGCUGGAAUGUGAUGGCUGGUCAGGGGUGGAACAGGAUUCCGUGACUGAGAACUUGACCAAAAUCACAGAAUUGCCCUAAAGGAGGGGCAGUUCCCCAAAACGAGGGAGAGAGUGCUUACCAGAAGAAGGGUUUAACGGGCAUUUGGGCAGACAAAAAAAUAGCAUGUCUACUGUGCUUUUGUACUUAGAUUUAUAUUUUCCCUAGUUCUAACCUAGUACUAAUACCUAAAAAUGGAAUAUUCCUUAUGUUAAAAAAACACAUGAUGUUAUAAAAAAUUAAAUUUUAAUUCCUUUGCAGUCGAAAAGGAGGUAUGAAUGUGGGUCCUCAGAAUUUCAUUGGAAUCUUUCUUUCAGAAUACACAAAUAUGUUUUUGUUAAUAAAGAAUGUUUUUUAAAUUAUUGCCAACUUAAACAAAAAGAGUAGCUGCCUUCUUUAGACAGUCACUGUAUAUUCUUUUAAACAGCUUAUUCUCCAAAAGAAGGUCAUGCCAGGUAGAAUUCUAAUUGUUGCUUUAAAGUCUAUGAUCCUAGGUGUUAAAUUUCACAUGCCCUGUUGAAGAAAAUUCCUUAUUCCUAGCAGCUUCUAGAGAAUGCCUUUGAAAGCAUAAUCAAUCUAUUUCCCACUUACAGAGGAACAGUAUUUGAGAGGCAACAUUCAUUGUAG